UACGUAGGGGGCAAGCGUUGUCCGGAUUUAUUGGGCGUAAAGAGCGUGUAGGCGGCCAGAUAGGUCAGCUGUGAAAACUCGAGGCUCAACCUCGAGACGUCGGUUGAAACCAUCUGGCUAGAGUCCGGAAGAGGAGAGUGGAAUCCCCGGUGUAGCGGUGAAAUGCGCAGAUAUCGGGAAGAACACCCGUGGCGAAGGCGGCUCUCUGGGACGGUACUGACGCUGAGACGCGAAAGCGUGGGGAGCGAACAGG
rnacentral:rRNA from 1 species